UUCCGGUCAGUUGCCUGGUGUAGUGC
rnacentral:piRNA from 1 species